GGGGAUGUAGCUCAAUUGGUAGAGCAAAUGCAAAUGCUUGUGUUAGGUAUGGGGUUUGAUUCCUUGCAUCUCCA
rfam:Brachypodium distachyon strain Bd21 chromosome 2, whole genome shotgun sequence.